UUGAACACACCCAGAACCGCUAUCAGAUAAUAGAAGUAAUCCAAUUUUCCCGCGUUGAGAUUCUUGUUAAGCCAAUCAGGACGGUCAUGGCCACCGGAGAAUUUAUGAACCGUCGUCACAAUCAAACUACUAAGGUAGUUCGAACCGGCGAAGGAUAACGAGAAGAGAGAGUUAGCGAUGCUUCUCAUGUGUUCAGGAAACUGACUGUUGAAGAAGUCAAUCUGUCCAAUGAUAUUGAAUGCUUCGCAUAGUCCCAUCAGAAUAAGCUGCGGCGAGAGCCAAAACACCGACAUGGGGGUCAUCCCGGUCGGAUCUCCUGCGUUAAUGGAGCGCAUUCGUCUCAUGCGCUCCACUAACCCGGCAACGAUCAUGGAGAGGAUAGCGAAAACGAUCCCUGUCCCGAUACGUUGGAGGAGUGUGAUACCGGAUUUAUGGCUGGUGAUCCGACGGAAGAAUGGGACUAAAACGCGGUCGUAUAAGGGAAGAAAAACGCCGAUGGUGAGGAGAGAGAUGACUGAGAGAGAACCGGCCGGAAUCUCGAAGUUGGGGCCUAUAUGUCGGUCCAUUUUUAAAGCUUGAGAGACAGUGAAAGUUCCUUGUUGUGUCAUCGCCGCGAGUGAUAUUAUUCCGGCCGACCAAACAGGAACGAUUCGAAUCAAACACUUCACUUCUUCCACUUCUUGAAUGCUGCAUAAUCGCCACUUGUUCGCCGGAACUCCCUCGGAUGAUAGAUCGCCUUCUAUUAUCACCGCCGCUUUGUCUAGAAACCUAUUUUACGCCAUUCCAGUUAAAAUAUGUACUACCUCAGCUUCACAAUUAUCAAAGUUUUUAUAAAAAAAUUAUGGAGUAUAAUAAAAUUAGCUUUAAAUUUUUUUUAAUUUUUUUUUUAUUAUUGAAUAAUAGCAAAUUUUAAAAUUUAAGAAACUUAAUUGAUUUUUUUUAACUAAUAUUGAUGUAAUUUUAUUGAAAAUUACUAGGAAAAUACAUUUAUAGUAAAAAAUUAAUGUGUUUUUAAUAUUUAUGAAAUACUCAAAUUUUUAUAUUUUUGGAACGGAAAUAGUAUAAGUUAAAAUAUGCUUAUAAUUUGCUAGACAAGAAAAUAUUUGACCAAAAUUGUAAAAUAUGAUACUAUAUAUUUAUUAAAAUUUGACAUGCAAUAGUUGAACAUCUUUAUAAACGAUUUUACCAUCCAUUUGUCUGUAUUUCUUUUUGUAAAUUUAGUUAUCUAGUGCAUAUAUUCAACUAAACACCAUGCAGUUAUACGUAAAAAAAUGAAUAUAUAAAGUACCUGUAUUGGUUACUAUGGUGUAAUUUGGAUAAUACGCUAUCUUUAACAGGCGGGUCAUAGUAGGUCACAGUGCCGUCAUCUUCCGCCGGGAGCUUCAUCUUUCGCUUCUUGCGAGCUGCCACGACAACUUGAGCGAUACCAGAGAAUAUACUUCCUUCAGGUUUAACAUAGACGUAAAGCUUCAUUCCGGCGAAAAACAUAACCACGGCACAAGCCAUGAGUCCAGUGGGUACGCUAAAGCCGAUGAUCCAGCUGACUUGGUCUUGGAUAUACACAACAACGGUCUGUGUAAUAAGCAGAACCACAGUGAAAGUCAUGUAAUACCAGUUGAAGAAACUUGCCACUCCUUUAAUCCCUUCCUCGGUUCGUUGGUCGAAUUGGUCAACACCAAAAGGGAUGCUACAUGGUCGUAUUCCUCCACUCCCUAUGGAGAGGAAACCUAGACCUAAUAGCAAAAUCCCGAACUGGAGUUUGUUCGGACCGCCGCAACUAACGGGAUCUUUGCUGUUGCAUGUUUCUGGGUGGAGUUGAGGAAGCGAUGCCGUGAGUGUCAAUGUCACUAGUCCCUGCAGAUUUUAGCUGAUUUAGUAAAAUAUUACCCCAUCAUUCGUUUUCAAACCGAUUCUACAAUAGUUAUGAUGAUCUUACCUUGAAAUUCAGUUGGAUAUAGUUGUUAGUUACUACUGGAAAGGCAAACAAUAAAGUGGACUAGUGGACUAAUUUAGUUAUCUUGGACUGCAUGUGAUUAAAAGGUGAUAUUACUUAGUUAGGUACUUGGAAAGGCAUAUAUUACUGUGGGAUAGAAUGGAGUUAUGAUUCAGUGACAAAAAAAGAGAGGUUAAAGUUAUGACCUCAACUACAGACAACAAUUAAUUAAGUUAACAUUGGUCUUAUAAUUAGGUUUGACGACUUCAUAUGAUUAAAAUGUGUUAUCACCUUCAUUAGAUACCAGUUAGUAUAAACUGAUCAUGACGUAGUACCGAAUAUUAAUUUUGUUGUUGUAACCCUAAUAUAGUAAAAUGAGUAGUUUAUGGUAACAAUUUAGGUCGAUCCCCUUAUUUGAAAAUUAAUUUUUUUUUAAGUUUUAUAUGUCAUUACCAUAUUUAUUUUCACAACAAUAUGAUAUGGUUUAGUAAAAAAGUCUCUUAUUAUGACAUGUAUAUUCUUAAUGAUAACACUUUUGUCUUCUGAGAAAAUUCCUAAAUAACAUAAUAAUCAUUCGGUACAUACAGGCCCAGCUCUGAUAGGAAGCUAUGGAAGCAUGGACUUCCGGCCUUUAAACAAUAUAGCUUAUUUUCGGCCUCAAUUUCUUGAAUAUCUCUUUAGUCUACUAGUAAAAAACUAAAGCUAUAUUUCCUAAGGUCAUAAGUUCGACCCAUGCCUACGGUAAUUGCAGCCUUUUUUGCCAAAUAGCUUCUGGUCCUGUAAAAGUCAGGGCCGCUACUGGGUACAUACCAUAUAUAUAUGUAAGUGAUCAAUAUUGUUAUUGUUAAAAUUUAAAAUAAUAUAAAUACAAGUAUAAGAAAUUUUAUAAACUAACCUAAUAUAAAAAGUUGGUAAAUUUGAAAAAGUUAGCUAAUUUCUUAUAAAUAUUUAUAUUUUACCACAUUAAAUGUAAAUCAUGUACCUUAAUAAAUAAAAAACUAAGAUAAAUUUAAUUAGAAUUCAAAAUUGUGGUAAAUAUUCAAAAAUAUUACUAUAUCCAUAUCAGCAUAAAUAGAAUUUAAUCAAGUUAUUUGAAUUUAAUUGUGAUACAAUAAAUUGAAAAUCUGUUUGUUAGAAAUAUCAUAAGUCAAACGGAAACAAAUAUUUUAUUUUAUAAUUUAUGAAUCACAAAUUUAAAUAUUAAUAAAUUUAAAAAAUAUUUUAAAUAAAAAUAUUUUUAAAAAGUUGCAUUUCUGUUCAGUAAACCCCUAGUUAAUAACUAUGAAAAAUGCAAAAAUGUAAGAGAUGUAAACACGUGAAUUUAGAGGGAUGCGACAAAUAUAAAUACCCCACUUUGAUUAUAAUAAUGCUAUAAUAAUGAAUGAAAGAGACAUUUAGAAACGAAACUGUAUCCACAUACGUUAAGUUACGUUACGUUACGUCACUGUGAUUGACCAAAUCUACAACUCUUUCAGUUGGCAAUAUAAUCUGGAAUUUCAAUUAUUGGACGCACUUGUUACCGAUAAUCUUUAUAGACCACUUGUGUAUUUUCUUUAUUUUCUACGCACUUCUCUUAUCUUGAAAGUUAUAAUCCGUUUGAUUACGGACCCUCUGUGUUGUUUGAUUACUGAAAUUCUUUAAUGGAAAAUGUACUAGCAAUUUAUCAAAGUUGUUUUUUUUCUGUGAGAUGAAAAUAGUUCUCUGAUAAAGAAUUUCGGGGAUGUAUAAUUAAAGUGAGCCCAAGUUAAGCACCGGCAACAAUUUGAGUCUACCGAAUGCUUUUCGUUCGAAUGAUUCACAUGAUAGAUCGACCUUAUCGUCCUAUAGAAAGCGUGGUCCCUCUAUAAUUUCAUGCGUUUUCAUACGAUACAAACGCAAUAAAUAGGUAAGAAAAUAUAACUUAAAGUUUUAGUAUUAUAGUUUUUGUUGAAUAUGAAUAAAGUUUGUCUAUAACGUAUUUACCUCGUCAUGUCCACUUGCAUGAUGAAAUUAUGUGGCACGUACCAUGUAUCAUCUCCACACAAUAUAUAGAGCAACAAUAUAACUUUCUACCGGACGUUAGUAUGUUAUGAAUUAGUAUUACUAUAUAUUAAGUGUGCAUAUGUGACACAUUAAGAUUAGCAUUUCAAUAAAAGGAAGAGAAGAGUACUAAUACGUACGAGGAGGGUGGCGAAUGAGGCGAAAGCGAUGGUCUUGAAACGGCCGACGUAAGCGUCCGAGAUAAACGCACCCACUAGAGGAGUGAGAUUGCUGAAGCCAGACCAAAUGUUGAUGACAUUUGAAGCGUCGACUUGUUCUAAGUGGAACACUCUGGUUAGAUACACCAUGAAGUUUGACAACAACCCAAUUGUUCCCAGUCUCUCCAACGUCUCAUUUCCUGUUUUUCAAAUUUCAAAGCUUCCGAUAGUUUUAUCUCGGGUUUAAACAAAAGCAGUCAUUGUAAUUUUUUUUUGAGUGAAUACAUUUUUACAUCCAUUCAAAAAAUGUCAACACAUAAACGAACGAAUAUGUUAACAGUUUUCUUUCUGUUUUAGUUAUACUUAUAAAUAAGUAGUCAGAUGGACGAGUGUCAAACAUGAUGAACCGACGGUUACAAGAAUAUAUUAUAAAUAUGAUCCUUCGGAAAAAAACCUGAAACUAAAAUUUAAAUUAUUCUUGACCGGUUGAAAAGAUCAUACGCCACUUUCUUUUCUGUCUAGUGUCUAUUACGUUCAAAGAUCUAGGCAAAAAGUGGGUUUGAAACAUCUGUCAAGGAUAAUAAGUGUAAUAAUGUAUUCAGUGGUUUCUAGAAGUUUUAUGUCCAAAUAUGGAAACUAAUUUCAUGUAAAUUGAGGAAGGAUCAAGGAAUAGGUUAUCUACAAAUAAAUUACGUUCACGAACCAAAGAAAAACACAUACCUAAAAUGAACGUGACGGCUCUCCAUCCUCCAGGCUUUUUCUCAACCUUCUCAGCAUCCAAGAUAGAAUGCGGCGAACUUUUCUGACUGUGAGAAUCAGAAACAUCCAUCUCCGCCGGCAGUAGCGAUUUGGAGAAAUUACUAGAUGGUGGGAAGAAGAAGUGUCCUUCUCUUCGCACUUUGAACUUAGGGCAAUUGAUGUUGUGAGAUUGGAUCCUUACUUUUAUGCAAUUUACAUAGAUAAAUCAAGGUAAACACAUGGAAUGAUUGAUAAAUGUAGCGAGUGGGCACGUCACGCGUACACUUUCUCUCUGUUAGAAUCUUUUUAGGGUGUAAUGGGGAAGUGUCUGUGCCUAUGUAUAUAUAAGAGCAUGUUUAUGGAGGGUUAUCUUAGGUUGGAGUUCUUAGGUUAUGUUUCUUAGCGGAAUAUAAGAAACCGUCUCUUAACUUUUAACUAAAAAAGUUAUUUAAGAACCGGUUCUUAAUUUUUUUAGUUAAAAGUUAAGAGACGGUUUCUUAUAUUCAGAUAACAACUUCAACCUAAGAACCCUCCAAUAAACAUGCUCUAAGGGAAUCCCUUAUAUAUUAAAGGAGAAGCAUUGUAAUAAAUGCGUUCACACUAAACUGGACACAUGUCACGUGUAAAAGCAUUGUAAUAAAUGCGAUCACACUAAAAUAGACACAAGUCACAUAUAGAGAGUUUCUCAGCCAAAUUCUACAUAAAUAUGUUCACACUAUGUUCUUUACAUUUUUUUAAUAUAAAACUCACAUGCAUGGUUCUUCUUUACGUUAUUUUUACUGUUUACGAAUAGAGCUGGACAAAUUAUUCAUAAAUUUUGAUUCGAUUCGUUAUCCGUUUUUAUUCGAACCAAAAAAUCCGGAUAUCCGUUACUCUACGAAGCAAAUCAAAUACUAAAAUGCAAUAUCCGUAAAAAAAAAAAAAUCACAAAUAUCAAUAUUUAUAGGAAAGAAUAUCCUUGAACAAAAAAAAAAGAAAGAAUAUCCAAUUUGAUCCGUUAUAUGCAUAUAUAUAUAUAUAAGUUCUGAAUUAUAUAUUAUACUUAGAUACAUUGUCAUCGUAAUCAUUAAAACAACAUCGAUCAUCUUCUUGUUGCUUUAAAUCAUUUCAGCUGUUUUUUGGAACUCAUCUCAACAUCAGAGAAACUCUUGUCCUCCUCGAAACCUCCCAUCUGUAAACCAACCUUGUACCGGUAUCCCUGAGCACAGUACCAAAAGUAAACCAGAUUGAACACACCCAGAACCGCUAUCAGAUAAUAGAAGUAAUCCAAUUUUCCCGCGUUGAGAUUCUUGUUAAGCCAAUCAGGACGGUCAUGGCCACCGGAGAAUUUAUGAACCGUCGUCACAAUCAAACUACUAAGGUAGUUCGAACCGGCGAAGGAUAAAGAGAAGAGAGAGUUAGCGAUGCUUCUCAUGUGUUCAGGGAACUGACUGUUGAAGAACUCAAUCUGUCCAAUGAUAUUGAAUGCUUCGCAUAGUCCCAUCAGAAUAAGCUGCGGCGAGAGCCAAAACACCGACAUGGGGGUCAUCCCGGUCGGAUCUCCUGCGUUAAUGGAGCGCAUUCGUCUCAUGCGCUCCACUAACCCGGCAACGAUCAUGGAGAGGAUAGCGAAAACGAUCCCUGUCCCGAUACGUUGGAGGAGUGUGAUACCGGAUUUAUGGCCGGUGAUCCGACGGAAGAAUGGGACUAAAACGCGGUCGUAUAAGGGAAGAAAGACGCCGAUGGUGAGGAGAGAGAUGACUGAGAGAGAACCGGCCGGAAUCUCGAAGUUGGGGCCUAUAUGUCGGUCCAUUUUUAAAGCUUGAGAGACAGUGAAAGUUCCUUGUUGUGUCAUCGCCGCGAGUGAUAUUAUUCCGGCCGACCAAACAGAGGGGAAACUAAACCAUUGAAAGAGAGAUUGUUUAUAAUGAUUGAGGGAGAGGAACUGAUGAAAUUCACAUCAAGAAUCUCACAUAUUUAUAGAUUGUAGAUUCAUACCAUGGAAGAAAGAAAGAGGGUAUUGAAUGAGACAUCAUGUAAGGAGUGGGAAGGUGGCUUUAAUGAUGAUCAUUGAACGAAGACAUGUCGUAACGGCUUCGAGGAUAAGAACUAAAGAUGAAACGACGCAGUCGAAGCAUGACACAAAGUUUCUUCACGACGAUUUGCCCCACUCGAUAUUCUGAAACUCUAUUAUUGGCGGAACUAAUCAGACAGAGCUUCAAGGGUACGAUAAAUCGUAGAGAAGGACGGCUGCUACUCGUGAAGAAGAUAAGACGACUAAAAGGCCACUUUUUACUGGGCCAAAGCAAAUUUAUCAGCCCAAAAACAUUGAAUAUACAAGCUUAACGUUAGAAGCCCAACAGAUAUGAGAUUAAAUGAAAUGCUGCGUUUUGUGCGGACGGGACACGUGUCGACACCCGAAGUUUCGACUUUCUGACUUGGAAUCUGACGUGUAGCCUUCAGGAGUGAGCAAACUCUUUUUUAUAAUAAUAGAUAGAUAGAUUCUGAACUGUCCAAGCAUUUUGCAAGUCCUCACCAACUUAUCCUACUAAAGUAUUCUUGUUGAAAAACUUGUUUACCUAAUCAUUACCAAUGCAAAAAACUAACAAUCUCCCCUUCCCAUGAAAAGGUAGAUUUUACAAGAUCCAUACUCAUUAAUGGGGUUGUAGGCAAAUGGUUUGGUCGAUUCCAAUAAUACAAAACUAAACGUUAUAGAAUCUGCAUCGUGUCACAGGACUUGUAGAUACCGAAACAAAUAUAGGAGUGACGGAGUUCUCAUCACAAUCUUUUUUCAUCAUGUAUUCAUGUGAGGAUGUAUUUCCAUCAUGUUCAUACUUCAUAGAAUAAGCAAGCCGAAUCCAUACACUUGUUCAAUUUUGUCAGGAACCAUACAACUAAUCCAGAAAUGGUCACCGAAUCCAUAUACAUGUUCAUUGCUUUUUUCGGCAGAAUUCGUCAACCAUGUCUAAUUUAAAAGGUGUAAAAGCUUUCUUUGGUCGAUUGCUCGAGUUCCAUGAUAAAGUCCAAUUAAAACAAAAAAAUCAAAAAUUCUAUAGGACUUAUAAUUAAGUUAGAGGAAAGCAUUACUGUGAGUAGUCCAUUCCCCAAACAUAGGAACACCAAAGUAUUCAUAUAUAUAUACAUAUAUUCAUAUCAUAGCACAGUGUAUAUGACUAUGCUAUAGUGCAAUCCACCGAUUAAAUUACAUUCAUGACUUAAACUGCGAUUUACUUGUAAGAAUUCUAUUGUAGAAUACCAGCUAUAGCGUAUACAAAGCCAUAAAAUUAAAGUAGACUGUAAAAUAUCUAAUACGAUCUAGUUCCUAUAUUUAUUACACGAUAUAGUUCUGAAUUAUAUAUUAUACUUAGAUACAUUGUCAUCGUAAUCAUUAAAACAACAUCGAUCAUCUUCUUGUUGCUUUAAAUCAUUUCAGCUGUUUUUUGGAACUCAUCUCAACAUCAGAGAAACUCUUGUCCUCCUCGAAACCUCCCAUCUGUAAACCAACCUUGUACCGGUAUCCCUGAGCACAGUACCAAAAGUAAACCAGAUUGAACACACCCAGAACCGCUAUCAGAUAAUAGAAGUAAUCCAAUUUUCCCGCGUUGAGAUUCUUGUUAAGCCAAUCAGGACGGUCAUGGCCACCGGAGAAUUUAUGAACCGUCGUCACAAUCAAACUACUAAGGUAGUUCGAACCGGCGAAGGAUAAAGAGAAGAGAGAGUUAGCGAUGCUUCUCAUGUGUUCAGGGAACUGACUGUUGAAGAACUCAAUCUGUCCAAUGAUAUUGAAUGCUUCGCAUAGUCCCAUCAGAAUAAGCUGCGGCGAGAGCCAAAACACCGACAUGGGGGUCAUCCCGGUCGGAUCUCCUGCGUUAAUGGAGCGCAUUCGUCUCAUGCGCUCCACUAACCCGGCAACGAUCAUGGAGAGGAUGGCGAAAACGAUCCCUGUCCCGAUACGUUGGAGGAGUGUGAUACCGGAUUUAUGGCUGGUGAUCCGACGGAAGAAUGGGACUAAAACGCGGUCGUAUAAGGGAAGAAAAACGCCGAUGGUGAGGAGAGAGAUGACUGAGAGAGAACCGGCCGGAAUCUCGAAGUUGGGGCCUAUAUGUCGGUCCAUUUUUAAAGCUUGAGAGACAGUGAAAGUUCCUUGUUGUGUCAUCGCCGCGAGUGAUAUUAUUCCGGCCGACCAAACAGGAACGAUUCGAAUCAAAC
rnacentral:lncRNA from 1 species